rnacentral:rRNA from 1 species
GUGGGGAAUUUUGGACAAUGGGGGCAACCCUGAUCCAGCCAUGCCGCGUGCGGGAAGAAGGCCUUCGGGUUGUAAACCGCUUUUGUCAGGGAAGAAAUCCUUUGGGUUAAUACCUCGGAGGGAUGACGGUACCUGUAGAAUAAGCACCGGCUAACUACGUGCCAGCAGCCGCGGUAAUACGUAGGGUGCGAGCGUUAAUCGGAAUUACUGGGCGUAAAGCGUGCGCAGGCGGUUUUGUAAGAUCGAUGUGAAAUCCCCGGGCUCAACCUGGGAACUGCAUUGGUGACUGCAAGGCUGGAGUGCGGCAGAGGGGGAUGGAAUUCCGCGUGUAGCAGUGAAAUGCGUAGAUAUGCGGAGGAACACCGAUGGCGAAGGCAAUCCCCUGGGCCUGCACUGACGCUCAUGCACGAAAGCGUGGGGAGCAAACAGGAUUAGAAACCCGGGUAGUCC